UACGUAGGAUGCGAGCGUUAUCCGGAUUUAUUGGGUUUAAAGGGUGCGUAGGCGGAUCGUUAAGUCAGUGGUCAAAUUGAGGGGCUCAACCCCUUCCCGCCAUUGAAACUGGCGAUCUUGAGUGGAAGAGAAGUAUGCGGAAUGCGUGGUGUAGCGGUGAAAUGCAUAGAUAUCACGCAUAACCCCGAUUGCGAAGGCAGCAUGCCGGCUUCCUACUGACGCUGAAGCACGAAAGCGUGGGGAUCGAACAGG
rnacentral:rRNA from 1 species